rnacentral:rRNA from 1 species
AUGAUCCAGAGUACCACGGGACACGUGAAACCCUGUGGGAAGCAGGAGGGACCACCCUCCAAGGCUAAAUACUACCUAGUGACCGAUAGCGUAUAGUACCGUGAGGGAAAGGUGAAAAGAACCCCGGGAGGGGAGUGAAAUAGAACCUGAAACCCUGCACUUACAAGCUGUGGAAGCACAUUUCUUGUGUGACCGCGUACUUUUUGUAGAACGGGCCAACGAGUUACGUUAAGUAGCAAGGUUAAGCACUUAAGGUGCGGAGCCGUAGCGAAAGCGAGUUUUAACUGAGCGUUCAGUUACUUGACGUAGACCCGAAACCGGGCGACCUACCCAUGAGCAGGAUGAAGCGAAAGUAAAAUUUCGUGGAGGUCCGAACCCACGAGCGUUGAAAAGCUCGGGGAUGACUUGUGGGUAGCGGUGAAAUUCCAAUCGAGCCCGGAGAUAGCUGGUUCUCCCCGAAAUAGCUUUAGGGCUAGCCUCAAGGUGAGAGAUACGGAGGUAGAGCACUGAAUGUCCUAGGGGGUAUUGCACCUACCGAAGACUAUCAAACUCCGAAUGCCGUCAUCUUAUACUUGGGAGUCAGACUGUGGGUGAUAAGAUUCAUAGUCGAAAGGGCAACAGCCCAGAUCGUCAGCUAAGGUCCCUAAAUGUAAGUUAAGUGGUAAAGGAUGUGGGAUUGCACAGACAACCAGGAUGUUGGCUUAGAAGCAGCCACUCAUUCAAAGAGUGCGUAAUAGCUCACUGGUCGAGUGAUCCUGCGCCGAAGAUUUCCGGGGCUAAAACUUACUACCGAAGCUACGGCAUCAGUAAUGAUGGGUAGGGGAGCUUCCCAUACGGGUUGAAGCAUGACCGUAAGGACAUGUGGACAGUAUGGGAGUGAGAAUGUUGGCAUGAGUAGCGAGAUGUGGGUGAGAAUCCCACAGGCCGUAAACCCAAGGUUUCCAGGGGAAGGUUCGUCCGCCCUGGGUUAGUCGGGACCUAAGCUGAGGCCGAAAGGCGUAGGUGAUGGACAACAGGUUGAUAUUCCUGUACUACCGAUAACCGUUUGAGAGAAGGGAUGACACAGUAGGAUAAGCUAAGCACACUGUUGGUUAUGUGUGCCCAAGCAUUGAGGCAGUCAAAGUAGGCAAAUCCGCUUUGAUAAUGCUGGGAUGUGAUGGGGAGCGAAAUUUAGUAGCGAAGUAGCUGAUUUCACACUGUCAAGAAAAGUCUCUAUCGAGGUUAAAGGUACCCGUACCGCAAACCGACACAGGUGGGUGAGGAGAGUAUCCUAAGGCCAGCGAGAGAACUGUUGUUAAGGAACUCGGCAAAAUGACCCCGUAACUUAGGGAUAAGGGGUGCCACCAUCAGGUGGCCGCAGAGAAUAGGCCCAAGCGACUGUUUACCAAAAACAUAGGUUUCUGCUAAGUCGCAAGACGAUGUAUAGGAGCUGACGCCUGCCCGGUGCUGGAAGGUUAAGGGGAUCUGUUAGAGCAAUCGAAGCAGUGAACUUAAGCCCCAGUAAACGGCGGCCGUAACUAUAACGGUCCUAAGGUAGCGAAAUUCCUUGUCGGGUAAGUUCCGACCCGCACGAAAGGCGUAACGAUUUGGGCACUGUCUCAACAACAGACUCGGUGAAAUUGUAAUUCCGGUGAAGAUGCCGGAUACCUGCGACAGGACGGAAAGACCCCAUGGAGCUUUACUGUAGCUUGACAUUGGGUCUUGGUACUACAUGUACAGGAUAGGUGGGAGGCUUUGAAACCAGGACGCCAGUUUUGGCGGAGCCAUCCUUGGGAUACCACCCUUGUAGUACUGGGACUCUAACCAUAGGCCAUGAAUCUGGUCUUGGGACACUGUCAGGUGGGCAGUUUGACUGGGGCGGUCGCCUCCCAAAAGGUAACGGAGGCGCUCAAAGGUUCUCUCAGUACGGUCGGAAAUCGUACGUAGAGUGUAAAGGCAAAAGAGAGCUUGAUUGCAAGACAUACAGGUCGAGCAAGGAUGAAAAUCGGACUUAGUGAUCCGGUGGUUCUGCGUGGAAGGGCCAUCGCUCAACGGAUAAAAGCUACCCUGGGGAUAACAGGCUUAUCUCCCCCAAGAGUCCACAUCGACGGGGAGGUUUGGCACCUCGAUGUCGGCUCAUCACAUCCUGGGGCUGUAGUAGGUCCCAAGGGUUGGGCUGUUCGCCCAUUAAAGUGGUACGCGAGCUGGGUUCAGAACGUCGUGAGACAGUUCGGUCCCUAUCCGUCGCAGGCGUAGGAAAUUUGAGAAGACCUGUCCUUAGUACGAGAGGACCGGGAUGGACGUACCUCUGGUGUACCAGUUGUCCUGCCAAGGGCAUGGCUG